rnacentral:lncRNA from 1 species
GAGUUGUGUUCCUCUCUGUGCAUGACAGAAUUCUCUCCAAAGGGGAAAGUUCAAGAUGUCCAAGGAACUUCACCAUGAACAUUGUUGCCGUGGGGAAGAAAACCCUUAGCUCCCUCACAGGAUCAGCUAUUCGGGUUCUCUGCUCUGUUCAUGAAACUGAUCACUCAGCCUAGAAAAUCGUAUGGCACUUAUGACUGCAAACGUGUCCAAAGUUGGAAUUGGUUUACUCCCCUAAAGACCUAUUAUCAGGAAGUAUGGUAUAUUUGAUAAUUAUGACAAUUAUGAAAUUUAUGACCAUAACGAAAUGUGGACACUGAUAAAAUCUAUGCAACAAGUGACAUCAGUGUUUGACACAUCCAGGGGAGAGGAAGCUAUAAUCUGAGCCAAGAUGUUAAUUAUAAAGAACAUGAAAGGAUGCUAAAAUUGGCUUGAGAACAAAGCAUUGCUCUUGGAAACCAAACUCA